rnacentral:rRNA from 1 species
AUUGAACGCUGGCGGCAGGCUUAACACAUGCAAGUCGAGCGGUAGCACAGGGGAGCUUGCUCCCUGGGUGACGAGCGGCGGACGGGUGAGUAAUGUCUGGGAAACUGCCUGAUGGAGGGGGAUAACUACUGGAAACGGUAGCUAAUACCGCAUAACGUCGCAAGACCAAAGAGGGGGACCUUCGGGCCUCUUGCCAUCAAAUUUGCCCAGAUGGGAUUAGCUAGUAGGUGGGGUAACGGCUCACCUAGGCGACGAUCCCUAGCUGGUCUGAGAGGAUGACCAGCCACACUGGAACUGAGACACGGUCCAGACUCCUACGGGAGGCAGCAGUGGGGAAUAUUGCACAAUGGGCGCAAGCCUGAUGCAGCCAUGCCGCGUGUGUGAAGAAGGCCUUCGGGUUGUAAAGCACUUUCAGCGAGGAGGAAGGUGGUGAGCUUAAUACGUUCAUCAAUUGACGUUACUCGCAGAAGAAGCACCGGCUAACUCCGUG